UCCUUCGGGGGGCCACCAGUGGGAAUCUUUCGGCAGGGCAGCAUGGUGUAAUCUGGACUAAGGGCGGGAGGCAGAACCCACUCUGGCGGGAAGACGGAUUAAGCCUGGAGGGAGGAAAUCUUUUUUAACCGGGUGGGAUAAUGCGGUCCCCAGAAAAAUAACCCCGGCUAACUUCGGCCCCCCCACCGGGGUAAUUAGGAGGGGGCCAAGCUUUUUUGGAAUUUUCGGGGGUAAAAGCGUGCGCGGGGGCCUUUUAAAUCCGAGGUUAAAACCCCGGGGUUCACCCCGGGAACUCCUUUUGAAAUUGCAGGCUUGGAGUCGGGAGGAGGGGAUGGAAUUUCCGCGGUAGGCGUGAAAUUUCUUAGAAUUGGGGAGAACCCCCUGUGGAAAGGGCGCCCCCUUGCCCCAAUUUUCACGUUGAGACGAAAAAGCGGGGGGAGAAAACAAUUUAAGAUACCCGGGUUCCCCCCCCUUAAAAACAUAAAGGUUGGUUGUGCCCCUUAGGCUCAGUGCCGCAGCUAACGCGUUAAGUCACAGCGAGUCAGAACGCGACGGUUG
rnacentral:rRNA from 1 species